rnacentral:rRNA from 1 species
GACGAACGCUGGCGGCGUGCUUAACACAUGCAAGUCGAACGGAAAGGCCCUGCUUUUGUGGGGUGCUCGAGUGGCGAACGGGUGAGUAACACGUGAGUAACCUGCCCUUGACUUUGGGAUAACUUCAGGAAACUGGGGCUAAUACCGGAUAGGAGCUCCUGCUGCAUUGUGGGGGUUGGAAAGUUUCGGCGGUUGGGGAUGGACUCGCGGCUUAUCAGCUUGUUGGUGGGGUAGUGGCUUACCAAGGCUUUGACGGGUAGCCGGCCUGAGAGGGUGACCGGCCAAAUUGGGACUGAGAUACGGCCCAGACUCCUACGGGAGGCAGCAGUGGGGAAUAUUGCACAAUGGGCGGAAGCGUGAUGCAGCAACGCCGCGUGCGGGAUGACGGCCUUCGGGUUGUAAACCGCUUUCGCCUGUGACGAAGCGUGAGUGACGGUAAUGGGUAAAGAAGCACCGGCUAACUACGUG